CUAUUUGUCCAAAAACACGGCGACCUUUUAAAUAUUCUUCAUCAACAACGACAACACCAUCAAUGGUAUCCACAUAAUCACCGUGAUCACCAAAAUCUCGACUUCCAAGGUAAACAGUUAUCUUACCAUUGGGAGCAGUUUUCUUAUACACUUUAACGGCAACAGCAUAGGCUAGGAACAGAGAUACAGUUCAACUUGAUUGAUGAACAAAUUACGUUUCUUGGAUUCUCCCAAAUUCAAUGUUUUUGCUUCUCCAAAGGUAAACUUUGCAGUCAAAUUUAUUGAUGAAAUUGAAAAGGCACAUUGGAAACCAUAUGAAUGGCUUAAUCGAGAAACUUGAUAAGGUUUCUUAACAACCAAUAAGAUUACUAUUCAUCUUGAUUAUUCAUUUGAUUUUGAUUCUGAUGAUGCACACCAAAUUAACAAUUUAUACGGACUCUUUCCUAAGUUAGUGUUGGUUUGCUGAUGAAAUCACUGAUCACUUGAAAAAAUAUGGACACAAGGAUCACAGUAAAGUUUUAUGGUUAUUGAUGGCAAUCAUUACAAUAAUGAGAUAUAAUUAUGAAAACCUAUGAUGAUGAUGACUUAAUGAUGGUAAUGGUGAGCACAAUGAUGACUUUGAUGGCUAAAGUUAAUGAAAUGAUGGAAACUAAUGGCUAUGGAUCAAGCUGCAAGUUUAACUUUUACAAAUUGUAUCCAGUCGUGUAAACAGCAAAGUUGGUCAAAUUGUUUUACUUUUCUUCAACAAUCUGUUGAUUGUAUUGGGAAUCACGCUGAUGAAGCUGUUGUUGCUAAUUUUAUCUAUCAUGUUCACCAAAUUUACAAGAGUAAAAGUGGUUCAUUCACUAAAGCAAAGCACAAAUGAAAAACAAAGAGCAACUUACAGGGAAAGGAUGGAUUACAAUUGGAUUGAAAGCAGAACAAGCAAUGAAGAUGAUAAAGAUAGAGAUGAUAACGAAGGAGAAGAUUUUUUGCCGCUCAUCUAUUUUUCUUCGUAUCUCAAGAAAUGAUAAAAAAUUGUGAACAAUGUGUUGAGGAUAAUAUGAGGGAAAAAUAAGAUGAUGAAAAGAGAGUUUGCUGUUGAACAUGUUGGAGAAAAAAAAGUUCUGAUUCAACUCAGCUCAACCAUGAUUCCAUUCAUCAGCUCUUUCUUUAUCUUCAUCCCUUCUCUCAGCCUGCAGGUUAACUUUGGCUAAAUUAUUCACCAAACCCUCUCUUCCAGAAACUAAACUCCCUGUGAAUUUAUCAACUUGUUUAUUUAUCCAUUUGUUUUGCUUGUUCUCAUCAUAUUAUGAGGCAAACAAAUUACUCAUGUUUAUCAUCAACAGAUGAUUGUACACUUGAAGGGUUAAUCAAAAGGCGCCACUUGAAUCAAAAUGUAAACUUGAAAGAACGAAAUUGUUUGAUUACAGAAAUUGUAAACAAAAUUAAUCAAAUCUAUUGAACAAGCUGAAAAUGAAUGUGAAAAGUAAAACAAAAAAAGGUUAAAAAACCCAAAAUAGAUUAUUGAACAUUAGGUUCAACUUUAUUUAGACUGUUGCCAUCAAAUAAUUGGAUUUGAUUGAAAUGAUUUUACUCUUGAUUGUUAAUGUAAUGAAAACCCUUGCAAUACACAAAAAAGCAAAAUUAAGCUAAUAUGGUUGAUACAAAUCUGUAUAUAUAAACAUUGUAUUUAUCCAACUUGUU